CGGCCACAGUUAGCGCCUGAACCCUAUGGGUUGACGAGGAAAAGAGUUAUCGAAAUAUUCGGCGGAUGCUCUUUCGUACGCUUUGGUGCGUAGAAAAAGGCAAAAACUUCGGCAACGAAGCAACAAAUCCUUUUUCACAAAGCAAU
rnacentral:ncRNA from 1 species